rnacentral:rRNA from 1 species
GUCGAACGCACAGCGAAAGGUGCUUGCACCUUUCAAGUGAGUGGCGAACGGGUGAGUAACACGUGGACAACCUGCCUCAAGGCUGGGGAUAACAUUUGGAAACAGAUGCUAAUACCGAAUAAAACUUAGUAUCGCAUGAUACCAGGUUAAAAGGCGCUACGGCGUCACCUAGAGAUGGAUCCGCGGUGCAUUAGUUAGUUGGUGGGGUAAAGGCCUACCAAGACAAUGAUGCAUAGCCGAGUUGAGAGACUGAUCGGCCACAUUGGGACUGAGACACGGCCCAAACUCCUACGGGAGGCUGCAGUAGGGAAUCUUCCACAAUGGGCGAAAGCCUGAUGGAGCAACGCCGCGUGUGUGAUGAAGGCUUUCGGGUCGUAAAGCACUGUUGUAUGGGAAGAAAAGUUAAGGUAGGGAAUGACCUUAGCCUGACGGUACCAUACCAGAAAGGGACGGCUAAAUACGUGCCAGCAGCCGCGGUAAUACGUAUGUCCCGAGCGUUAUCCGGAUUUAUUGGGCGUAAAGCGAGCGCAGACGGUUGGUUAAGUCUGAUGUGAAAGCCCGGAGCUCAACUCCGGAAAGGCAUUGGAAACUGGUUAACUUGAGUGCAGUAGAGGUAAGUGGAACUCCAUGUGUAGCGGUGGAAUGCGUAGAUAUAUGGAAGAACACCAGCGGCGAAGGCGGCUUACUGGACUGUAACUGACGUUGAGGCUCGAAAGUGUGGGUAGCAAACAGGAUUAGAUACCCUGGUAGUCCACACCGUAAACGAUGAACACUAGGUGUUAGGAGGUUUCCGCCUCUUAGUGCCGAAGCUAACGCAUUAAGUGUUCCGCCUGGGGAGUACGACCGCAAGGUUGAAACUCAAGGAUUUGACGGGGACCCGCACAAGCGGUGGAGCAU